rnacentral:rRNA from 1 species
UACGUAGGGGCCAAGCGUUGUCCGGAUUUAUUGGGCGUAAAGAGCUCGUAGGCGGUUCGGCAAGUCAGCUGUGAAAUCUCCACGCUCAACGUGGAGGGGUCAGCUGAUACUGCUGUGACUCGAGUCCGGUAGGGGAGUGUGGAAUUCCCGGUGUAGCGGUGAAAUGCGCAGAUAUCGGGAAGAACACCCGUGGCGAAGGCAGCCCCCUGGGCUGACACUGACGCUCAGGCACGAAAGCGUGGGGAGCAAACAGG